rfam:Picea glauca, whole genome shotgun sequence.
ACAUGCCUACAACAUAGCGUUAAUGCCCUUGAUCCCAUUAUAACUCCACAAUUAAGCGUGCUCAGGCUAGAGUAGUACUCGGAUGGGUGACCGCCUAGGAAGUCCUACUAUUUUUCAUGUC